CACUGCCCGGUAGCUAAAUGCGGAAGAGAUAAGUGCUGAAAGCAUCUAAGCACGAAACUUGCCCCAAGAUGAGUUCUCCCUGACUCCUUGAGAGUCCUGAAGGAACGUUGAAGACGACGACGUUGAUAGGCCGGGUGUGUAAGCGCAGCGAUGCGUUGAGCUAACCGGUACUAAUGAACCGUGAGGCUUAACCUUACAACGCCGAAGGUGUUUUG
rnacentral:rRNA from 1 species